AUGUAUGUUACUCAUGUGCGUAGAGAUGAAAGGUUUCAAAACUUGAAGAAUUUGUGUGAGCUUUCAGUUAUGCUUGUCGAGAGAAACAAGCAUGAACAAUACUAUAUUGUUUACAUGCUUCUUAAGUUGGUAUUAAUUUUGCCAGUAGCUACUACUAGUGUUGAAAGGGUGUUCUCUUUAAUGAACUAUGUGAAGAAUAAGCUAAGGAGCAAAAUGGGUGAUGAUUACUUGAACAAUUGUUUGGUUACAUUUGUUGAGAGACAAUUCUUCAAUCAAGUAAAGGAUGAGGAUGUCAUCAAUCUCUUCCAAAAAGGCGAUCGCAAAGUUAUAUUGUAA
rnacentral:rRNA from 1 species